AGGGUUCGAUUAUGGCUCAGAACGUACGCUGGCGGCACGCCUAACACAUGCAAGUCGAACGAAGUAGCAAUACUUAGUGGCAGACGGGUGAGUAACAUGUAGGUAUCUGCCCUAUGGCCUGGAAUAACACGAGGAAACUUGUGCUAAUACCGGAUAAGUCUUUACGGAGAAGGCUUUAUGCACCAUUGGAUGAGCCUGCACUUGAUUAGUUUGUUGGUGGGGUAAUGGCCUACCAAGACUGUGAUCAAUAGCUGAUUUGAGAGGAUGAUCAGCCACAUUGGGACUGAGACACGGCCCAAACUCCUACGGGAGGCAGCAGUGGGGAAUCUUGCACAAUGGAGGAAACUCUGAUGCAGCGAUGCCGCGUGAGUGAAGAAGGCCCUUGGGUUGUAAAGCUCUUUCGUCGGGGAAGAAAAUGACUGUACCCGAAUAAGAAGGUCCGGCUAACUUCGUGCCAGCCGCCGCGGUAAUUC
rnacentral:rRNA from 1 species